UACGGAGGGGGCUAGCGUUGUUCGGAAUUACUGGGCGUAAAGCGCGCGUAGGCGGACCUGCAAGUCGGGGGUGAAAGCCCGAGGCUCAACCUCGGAACUGCCUUCGAUACUGCGGGUCUCGAGUCCGGGAGAGGUGAGUGGAAUUCCUAGUGUAGAGGUGAAAUUCGUAGAUAUUAGGAAGAACACCAAGUGGCGAAGGCGGCUCACUGGCCCCGGUACUGACGCUGAGGCGCGAAAGCGUGGGGAGCAAACAGG
rnacentral:rRNA from 1 species